UACGGAGGGUGCAAGCGUUGUCCGGAUUUAUUGGGUUUAAAGGGUGCGUAGGCGGCCCUGUAAGUCAGUGGUGAAAUGCGGCAGCUUAACUGUCGAACUGCCAUUGAUACUGCAGGGCUUGAGUACAGACGAAGUAGGCGGAAUUUAUGGUGUAGCGGUGAAAUGCAUAGAUACCAUAAAGAACACCUAUUGCGAAGGCAGCUUACUAGGCUGUAACUGACGCUGAGGCACGAAAGCGUGGGUAGCAAACAGG
rnacentral:rRNA from 1 species